CGAACGGGUGAGUAACACGUGGGCAACCUGCCCAAAAGAGGGGGAUAACACUUGGAAACAGGUGCUAAUACCGCAUAACCAUAGUUACCGCAUGGUAACUAUGUAAAAGGUGGCUAUACUACCGCUUUUGGAUGGGCCCGCGGCGCAUUAGCUAGUUGGUAGGGUAAAGGCUUACCAAGGCAAUGAUGCGUAGCCGAAUUGAGAGGUUGAUCGGCCACAUUGGGACUGAGACACGGCCCAAACUCCUACGGGAGGCAGCAGUAGGGAAUCUUCCACAAUGGGCGAAAGCCUGAUGGAGCAACGCCGCGUGGGUGAAGAAGGUCUUCGGAUCGUAAAACCCUGUUGUUAGAGAAGAAAGUGCGUGAGAGUAACUGUUCACGUUUCGACGGUAUCUAACCAGAAAGCCACGGCUAACUACGUGCCAGCAGCCGCGGUAAUACGUAGGUGGCAAGCGUUAUCCGGAUUUAUUGGGCGUAAAGGGAACGCAGGCGGUCUUUUAAGUCUGAUGUGAAAGCCUUCGGCUUAACCGGAGUAGUGCAUUGGAAACUGGGAGACUUGAGUGCAGAAGAGGAGAGUGGAACUCCAUGUGUAGCGGUGAAAUGCGUAGAUAUAUGGAAGAACACCAGUGGCGAAAGCGGCUCUCUGGUCUGUAACUGACGCUGAGGUUCGAAAGCGUGGGUAGCAAACAGGAUUAGAUACCCUGGUAGU
rnacentral:rRNA from 1 species